rnacentral:rRNA from 1 species
UACGUAGGGAGCAAGCGUUGUCCGGAAUCAUUGGGCGUAAAGCGCGUGUAGGCGGCUGGCUAAGUCCGCUCUGAAAGCCCGGGGCUCAACCCCGGGGAGGCGGGUGGAUACUGGUCAGCUCGAGUCCGGAAGAGGAGUGUGGAAUUCCUGGUGUAGCGGUGAAAUGCGCAGAUAUCAGGAGGAACACCAAUGGCGAAGGCAGCACUCUGGGACGGUACUGACGCUGAGACGCGAAAGCGUGGGGAGCAAACAGG